UACGGGGGGGGCAAGCGUUGUUCGGAAUUACUGGGCGUAAAGGGCUCGUAGGCGGCCAACUAAGUCGGAUGUGAAAUCCCCAGGCUUAACCUGGGAACUGCAUCCGAUACUGGUCGGCUUGAAUCCGGGAGAGGGAUGCGGAAUUCCAGGUGUAGCGGUGAAAUGCGUAGAUAUCUGGAGGAACACCGGUGGCGAAGGCGGCAUCCUGGACCGGCAUUGACGCUGAGGCGCGAAAGCCAGGGGAGCAAACGGG
rnacentral:rRNA from 1 species